GGCCGUGUGGCCCAAUGGCAAGGCGCUUGACUACGAUUUCUACGGUAUCAAGAGAUUCCAGGUUCGACCCCUGGCACGGUCA